rfam:Schistosoma rodhaini strain Burundi genome assembly, scaffold: SROB_scaffold0000040
AUCCAUCUGACGAGUCCCAGAUAGAACGAAACUGUCGUGAAACUGGAU